rnacentral:rRNA from 1 species
GACUACUGGGGUAUCUAAUCCCGUUUGCUCCCCUAGCUUUCGCACCUCAGCGUCAGUUGUGGACCAGAGAGCCGCCUUCGCCACCGGUGUUCCUCCAGAUAUCUACGCAUUUCACCGCUCCACCUGGAGUUCCGCUCUCCCCUACCACACUCGAGCACCACAGUCUGCCGGGCAGUUCCACGGGUGAGCCGUGGGAUUUCACCCGACACUUGUAGCGCCGCCUACGUGCUCUUUAAGCCCAGUGAUUCCGAACAACGUUUGCACUCUCUGUAUUACCGCGGCUGCUGGCACAGAGUUAGCCAGUGCUUCCUCUCGAGCUUACGUCAGGAUCUACCACUGUUCGUGGCAGCUCUUUCUUAACUCGUGACAGGAGUUUACAACCCGAAGGCCUUCAUCCUCCACGCGGCGUCGCUCCGUCAGGCUUUCGCCCAUUGCGGAAGAUUCUCGACUGCAGCCCCCCGUAGG